CAAUAGCAUAUAUGAAUGUUGUUGCAGUUAAAACGCUCGUAGUCGAUAUUAUCGGACCUACUACAUUUUGUAGACAGGAACGUUACCAAGCCGUUAAAUCGGUAACAGAGAGCACUUUUUUGCUUCUUGGCAUAUAUGCUACUAGGAGACGUGUUAACGCCGUUUCCUACGAUGUAGUAAUUACCUUGAAUGAAUCAGAGUUCUCAAAGCAGUGCAUGGGCACGUUGAAUGAUCAAGCAUGGGAUAAUACAUAACACUGUUGACAUUUUGUAUUGGUGUGAAAUCAGGCCAUAACUUACAAGUGAUUAAUAGGAACAGUUGAGGGUUCUAGUACUGAAUGGCGAGAGGUGAAAUUCUUAGACCCAUUCAUGACUUUCUGCGGCGAAAGCAUUUACCAAGGAUGUUUUCAUUGA
rnacentral:rRNA from 1 species